UGGAGGGCGUGCCGCGCGGUU
rnacentral:misc_RNA from 1 species